GAUGAAGAACGUAGCGAAAUGCGAUACGUAAUGUGAAUUGCAGAAUUCAGUGAAUCAUCGAAUCUUUGAACGCAUAUUGCGCUCUCUGGUAUUCCGGAGAGCAUGCUUGUUUGAGUAUCAGUAAACACCUCAACUUCCAUAUCUUUUUUGAAAUGGGAGUUGGACUUGAGUGAUCCCAACGCUUUUCCUCACCGAAAAGUGGCGGGAUACUUGAAAUGCAGGUGCAGCUGGACUUUUCUCUGAGCUAUAAGCAUAUCUAUUUAGUCUGCCUAAAAAACAGAUUAUUACCUUUGCUGCAGCUAACAUAAAGGAGAUUAGUUCUUGUGCUGACUGAUGCAGGAUUCACAAAGACGGCUUCGGCCGACUUUGUAAACUCGAUCUCAAAUCAAGUAAGACUACCCGCUGAACUUAAGCAUAUCAAUAAGCGGAGGA
rnacentral:misc_RNA from 1 species